rnacentral:tRNA from 1 species
GGAUGUAGUUCAGUUGGUUAGAGCGUCAGAUUGUGGUUCUGAAUGUCGUGGGUUCGAAUCCCACCCUC